rnacentral:rRNA from 1 species
AGAGUUUGAUCCUGGCUCAGGACGAACGCUGGCGGCGCGCCUAACACAUGCAAGUCGAACGAGCGAGAGAGAGCUUGCUUUCUCGAGCGAGUGGCGAACGGGUGAGUAACGCGUGAGGAACCUGCCUCAAAGAGGGGGACAACAGUUGGAAACGACUGCUAAUACCGCAUAAGCCCACGGCUCGGCAUCGAGCAGAGGGAAAAGGAGCAAUCCGCUUUGAGAUGGCCUCGCGUCCGAUUAGCUAGUUGGUGAGGUAAUGGCCCACCAAGGCGACGAUCGGUAGCCGGACUGAGAGGUUGAACGGCCACAUUGGGACUGAGACACGGCCCAGACUCCUACGGGAGGCAGCAGUGGGGAAUAUUGCACAAUGGGGGAAACCCUGAUGCAGCGACGCCGCGUGGAGGAAGAAGGUCUUCGGAUUGUAAACUCCUGUUGUUGGGGAAGAUAAUGACGGUACCCAACAAGGAAGUGACGGCUAACUACGUGCCAGCAGCCGCGGUAAAACGUAGGUCACAAAGGUUGGCCGGAAUUACUGGGUGUAAAGGGAGCGCCGGGGCGGAAGACAAGUUGGAAGUGAAAUCUAUGGGCUCAACCCCAUAAACUGGCUUUAAAAACUGUUUUUUCUUGAGUAAGUGCAAAGGUAGGCGGGAAUUCCCGGUGUAGCGGGGGGAAUGCGUAGAUAUCGGGAAGAACACCAGUGGCGAAGGCGGCUUACUGGGCACCAACUGACGCUGAGGCUCGAAAGUGUGGGUAGCAAACAGGAUUAGAUACCCUGGUAGUCCACACCGUAAACGAUGAUUACUAGGUGUUGGAGGAUUGACCCCUUCAGUGCCGCAGUUAACACAAUAAGUAAUCCACCUGGGGAGUACGACCGCAAGGUUGAAACUCAAAGGAAUUGACGGGGGCCCGCACAAGCAGUGGAGUAUGUGGUUUAAUUCGACGCAACGCGAAGAACCUUACCAAGUCUUGACAUCCCUUGACGAUGCUGGAAACAGUAUUUCUCUUCGGAGCAAGGAGACAGGUGGUGCAUGGUUGUCGUCAGCUCGUGUCGUGAGAUGUUGGGUUAAGUCCCGCAACGAGCGCAACCCUUAUGGUCAGUUACUACGCAAGAGGACUCUGGCCAGACUGCCGUUGACAAAACGGAGGAAGGUGGGGAUGACGUCAAAUCAUCAUGCCCUUUAUGACUUGGGCUACACACGUACUACAAUGGCGUUAAACAAAGAGAAGCAAGACCGCGAGGUGGAGCAAAACUCAGAAACAACGUCCCAGUUCGGACUGCAGGCUGCAACUCGCCUGCACGAAGUCGGAAUUGC